GGCCUGAUGGUCUAGUGGUAUGAUUCUUGCUUUGGGUUCAUAACAGUCCUAACUGCAAGAGGCCCCGUGUUCGAUCCACGGUCAGGCCC